CAGAAGGGGAUAACACUUGGAAACAGGUGCUAAUACCGUAUAACACUAUUUUCCGCAUGGAAGAAAGUUGAAAGGCGCUUUUGCGUCACUGAUGGAUGGACCCGCGGUGCAUUAGCUAGUUGGUGAGGUAACGGCUCACCAAGGCCACGAUGCAUAGCCGACCUGAGAGGGUGAUCGGCCACACUGGGACUGAGACACGGCCCAGACUCCUACGGGAGGCAGCAGUAGGGAAUCUUCGGCAAUGGACGAAAGUCUGACCGAGCAACGCCGCGUGAGUGAAGAAGGUUUUCGGAUCGUAAAACUCUGUUGUUAGAGAAGAACAAGGAUGAGAGUAGAACGUUCAUCCCUUGACGGUAUCUAACCAGAAAGCCACGGCUAACUACGUGCCAGCAGCCGCGGUAAUACGUAGGUGGCAAGCGUUGUCCGGAUUUAUUGGGCGUAAAGCGAGCGCAGGCGGUUUCUUAAGUCUGAUGUGAAAGCCCCCGGCUCAACCGGGGAGGGUCAUUGGAAACUGGGAGACUUGAGUGCAGAAGAGGAGAGUGGAAUUCCAUGUGUAGCGGUGAAAUGCGUAGAUAUAUGGAGGAACACCAGUGGCGAAGGCGGCUCUCUGGUCUGUAACUGACGCUGAGGCUCGAAAGCGUGGGGAGCGAACAGGAUUAGAUACCCUGGUAGUCCACGCCGUAAACGAUGAGUGCUAAGUGUUGGAGGGUUUCCGCCCUUCAGUGCUGCAG
rnacentral:rRNA from 1 species